CUUGUUCCUUUUGAUACGGCAAUAAGUAGAUCCGAUGGAAAAAGAAAAGACAUAUCCAAAAGAUUAAAGAACAUAGAAACCAGAGGGGAAAAUUUUUCAAUGUUUGGCUACAACUUCUCUAUGAUUCUCCGUAUCCAAAAAGUCUCUCUUUUUCUCCUCCCAACAAACAAAAGAGAGGUAUUCCACUUCCCUAAGACUGGGUUGACGCAAACAUGUGACAGAAAAAAUGUUUUAUGAUUUGAAAACCGGAACAUGUGAAGGAAACAUCUUAAGUCUUCAAUGUGAAAAGAGUGAAAGUGGUUGUGGGUUGGAUUGCAGGGGCGUGAAGCAGAGAAGAGGAAAAGAAUUAUAAGGCUUAAACAGAC
rnacentral:lncRNA from 1 species